rnacentral:tRNA from 1 species
GUGCCAUGGCCCAGUGGUUAGAGCGUAAGCCUCGCAACCGAAAGGUCGCGGGAUCGAAUCCUGCUGGAGACU